rnacentral:rRNA from 1 species
CCUACGGGAGGCAGCAGUAGGGAAUCUUCCGCAAUGGACGAAAGUCUGACGGAGCAACGCCGCGUGAGUGAUGAAGGACUUUCGGGUCGUAAAACUCUGUUGUUAGGGAAGAACAAGUACAAGAGUAACUGCUUGUACCUUGACGGUACCUAACCAGAAAGCCACGGCUAACUACGUGCCAGCAGCCGCGGUAAUACGUAGUGCAAGCGUUAUCCGGAAUUAUUGGGGCGUAAAGCGCGCGCAGGCGGUUUCUUAAGUCUGAUGUGAAAGCCCCACGGCUCAACCCGUGGAAGGGUCAUUGGAAACUGGGGAACUUGAGUGCAGAAGAGAAAAAGCGGAAUUCCACGUGUAGCGGUGAAAUGCGUAGAGAUGUGGAGGAACACCAGUGGCGAAGGCGGCUUUUUGGUCUGUAACUGACGCUGAGCGCGAAAGCGUGGGGAGCAACAGGAUAGAUACCCUGGUAGUCCACGCCGUAAACGAUGAGUGCUAAGUGUUAGAGGGUUUCCGCCUUUAGUGCUGCAGCUAACGCAUUAAGCACUCCGCCUGGGAGUACGGUCGCAAGACUGAAACUCAAAGGAAUUGACGGGGGCCCGCACAAGCGGUGGAGCAUGUGGUUUAAUUCGAAGCAACGCGAAGAACCUUAC